CCGUCGUCGACGUCGCCGGUGCUUGCACCUCUGCUGCUGCCCGCGACCCCCCCAGCCCCUCUCUCCGCCCGAGGCACCGAGUCGGCCCUACCGCCGAUCCCCGCCGGGCGCUGCGAGGCCCCUGGCGUUGGCAAGGCCGGGCCCGGCCCCGACGCCGCUCCGCCUCGCGCAGAUCCCGACUGUCUCGAAUCGCGUCUCAGCGCUGUCUUCUUUCCCAGGACUGGUUUCGUAGGGGCCGCAAGCGCGCAGCCUCGCCCCCCGCCGGAGCGCCCCGGCCCGGCGCCGGAGCGGCCCCUUGUAGACGUUCGAGGAGCCUGCUGAGUGCCGUCCCGGCGCCCGACCGCCCACCGUCCGGCCCGCUGGCCCGCUUCUUCCUGAUGCAGACUGCCGUCCACUAGAGGCUGGACGGACCCCCGAGGUGAUUCAUGGCAGGGGACGUGGAAGGAUUCUGUUCCUCCAUCCAUGACACCAGUGUCUCUGCUGGGUUCAGAGCACUGUAUGAGGAGGGAUUGCUUCUUGAUGUCACUCUGGUUAUUGAAGAUCAUCAGUUCCAGGCCCAUAAAGCACUCUUGGCCACCCAGAGUGAUUACUUCAGAAUUAUGUUUACCGCAGACAUGAGGGAGCGAGAUCAGGACAAAAUUCAUUUAAAAGGUCUAACUGCUACCGGUUUCAGCCACGUCCUUCAGUUUAUGUACUAUGGAACUAUAGAACUGAGUAUGAGUACUGUUCAUGAGAUUCUUCAGGCUGCCAUGUAUGUUCAACUUAUAGAAGUGGUGAAGUUCUGCUGCUCUUUUCUAUUAGCAAAAAUCUGCUUAGAAAACUGUGCAGAAAUUAUGAGACUCUUAGAUGAUUUCGGUGUAAACAUCGAGGGAGUCAGGGAGAAGUUGGACGCCUUUCUGCUAGACAACUUCGUACCACUCAUGUCCAGGCCUGACUUCCUGUCUUAUCUGAGCUUUGAGAAGCUCAUGUCUUACUUGGAUAAUGAUCAUCUGAGCAGGUUCCCAGAGAUAGAGCUGUACGAGGCUGUGCAGUCUUGGCUGCGGCAUGAUAGAAGACGCUGGAGACAUACCGAUACCAUCAUUCAGAACAUCAGGUUUUGUUUGAUGACCCCAUCCAGUGUUUUUGAGAAGGUUAAGACAUCAGAAUUUUAUAGAUACUCCCGACAGCUGCGCUAUGAAGUUGAUCAAGCCUUGAAUUACUUUCAGAACGUUCACCAGCAGCCUCUGUUGGACAUGAAAUCAAGCCGCAUCCGCUCUGCCAAACCCCAAACUACAGUAUUCCGAGGCAUGAUUGGACAUAGCAUGGUUAACAGUAAAAUACUUCUCUUAAAGAAACCAAGAGUCUGGUGGGAACUGGAGGGCCCACAAGUACCUCUGCGUCCGGACUGCCUUGCUAUCGUGAAUAACUUCGUGUUCUUGUUGGGUGGGGAAGAACUGGGCCCAGAUGGCGAAUUCCAUGCUUCUUCCAAAGUGUUCAGGUAUGACCCGAGACAAAACUCUUGGCUCCGGAUGGCAGACAUGUCUGUACCACGUUCAGAAUUUGCAGUUGGUGUUAUUGGAAAGUUUAUUUACGCUGUAGCAGGCAGAACCAGAGAUGAGACUUUCUAUUCAACAGAGAGAUAUGAUAUCACGAAUGAUAAGUGGGAAUUUGUGGAUCCUUAUCCAGUUAACAAAUAUGGACAUGAGGGGACAGUGCUCAAUAACAAGUUGUUUAUCACUGGUGGAAUCACCUCAUCUUCCACCUCCAAACAAGUGUGCGUGUUUGACCCCAGUAAAGAAGGGACCAUAGAACAGCGGACCAGGAGAACUCAAGUAGUUACCAACUGUUGGGAGAAUAAGAGCAAAAUGAAUUACGCUAGAUGCUUUCACAAGAUGAUUUCUUACAACGGCAAGCUUUAUGUCUUCGGUGGUGUCUGUGUGAUCUUGAGGGCCUCUUUUGAGUCUCAGGGAUGCCCUUCCACAGAAGUGUACAACCCAGAGACUGAUCAGUGGACCAUCUUGGCGUCCAUGCCAAUUGGUAGAAGUGGCCAUGGUGUGACUGUGCUGGACAAACAGAUAAUGGUUCUUGGAGGUCUUUGCUACAAUGGUCAUUACAGCGAUUCUAUUCUCACUUUUGACCCGGAUGAAAACAAAUGGAAGGAAGAUGAGUACCCGCGGAUGCCCUGCAAGCUGGAUGGUUUACAAGUAUGCAACCUGCAUUUUCCAGAAUAUAUACUGGACGAGGUCAGACGUUGCAAUUAAUGGCAUCUUUCUCCCUUCAAAAAAGCCAAACAAAAAAUGUUUGAGACAAAGUAGUUAAUUAAGAAACAUAAGAAAAACCUCACUAGUUUUGCUAUCAAAGCCAUUGGUCUAAUAUAUAAAAAUAAUUUCAUUCUGUUCUCACAUCCUUUUUUUUCUUUUUAGUGGCCUCAAACUCAUGCAAUAAGUCAAUUCUAAGCACUAGCUCUUGAAACUACUUCCAGAAGCAGUUUAAUAGAAUGAUUCACUUAUCUGGGAAGUUGAUGUUAUGCUUUAAACAUUUCUUUCAAAUGUCAGUGUAGGAGUCAUGCAUCUUCUAAGAGAAGACCUGAAAAGUGUCACUGGAUGUAAUUUCAGUUCCUAUCUCUAUCUGAAAUCUUUUUGAACAUUUAUUUCAGUGUAUUGCAGUCUGUUAGACUUUUUGAUUUUAUUUUUUAAGUUUAACACUCUUGACCUUUUUGCAUGGCUUUUUGCUGAAAAUGCAAAAAUAUAAAUUUUCUAUAAAUUUAACUUUUUUAUAUUCAGAACACUAUUUCUAAGCUGCCUUCUCUUAUCUGCAUUGUGUUAGUGAAUGCAUAUCCAUACUUGCUUACAUCUUAUGAAUAUAUAAGGCACAUCCCCUUUUAUGCGUGGUUAGGAUUCUAUAUUUUUAAGCUAGUGCACUUGCACACACGGUUUGCCAUACUUGUUGUAUUCUAGAUGUAAUGUCUUUUCAUGUAUUAACAUUUUUGGAAAGUUAAAAUAACUGGAGUCCUUGUUUGGUAUCAGAGUAGCCUAUCUUCAGUCCAUACUGAUUCAGUAAUAUUCAAACUGCUUAUAUUCCUGAAACAUGUAUGGUUUUAUGAAAACUAACUUUUUUUUUUUUUUUUGCGGUACGCGGGCCUCUCACCAUUGUGGCCUCUCCCGUUGCGGAGCACAGGCUCCGGACGCGCAGGCUCAGCGGCCAUGGCUCACGGGCCCAGCCGCUCCGCGGCAUGUGGGAUCUUCCCGGACCGGGGCACGAACCCGUGUCCCCUGCAUCGGCAGGCGGACUCUCAACCACUGAGCCACCAGGGAAGCCCUGAAAACUAACAUUUUAUGUUUUAUUUUCAAAAGUAAACGUUAAUGUUGCUCAUCGAUGUAUGUCUUCUUUUUGAAAAUGUUUUUCUUUGCAGUCUGUUUAAUGUUACCCUGUUUUUAGUGAGAAUUGGAGUGGUAUAUGACAAGCCCUGGCCCUGCAGCGUGCAAGCACUUUUAAAGAGAAUUUAGGUAAUACCAGAGUCCUAAAUAAAGGCCCCUUAAAAGUAAGUGCAACUCCCGUUCUUUACAUUCAAUAAGGCUGCUGCAUCUGUUAUUGAAUGGAAAGUAGCAACUUGUGGAAAAUUUGAGCUCAGUUUUGACUUAGAGGUAAGGAGUAGAAUUAUAAUCUUAACUGGUCAUAUCUACUUGUUUAUUUAGUACAAAAUAUUUAGUGGCACUGGGGAUGUAAGCCCUCAGCUUUUGUUUUAUUUACUGAAAGCUACUAGCAUGAAGGAUAGUAACCUCAAAGUUCAGAAUGGAUCAAGAAUAACUGUUUUAAAGCAUUUAUAAUAAGUGUUUUAGGAUUAGCCGCACCUUUCAACUCUUUAAACUCGAAGAAAAAACAUAUAGUUGUCAAAAUUAAGCAAGAAUAACCAGGGAGUGGAUCAUUCAAAUUGAUGCCAUUUUCUUCUGAGUAGACUCUAUAUAUGAUACAGUCUAGAUCUACACUGGCAAAACUUGCCAGACCUUAGGAUAUUGGUGCAAUAUUGCAAUGCCUUCUAUAUGGCUGUUGUAUAAAUUUUCUAGUUUCACUUUUUUUUUUUUUUUUUGCUGCUGCCACCACUGAAUAUGAAAUGGAAGAGUGAAGUCAUGGAAAUGUGAAGACUUGUUUCAGUUUUGCAAUUAAAAUAGACAAUUAUGAAAAAACCCUGAUUUUAAAACUCUACAACUGGAGGCUAGAAACAGUCAGCAGCACCUUUGGACACCUCAUUCUGGGAAGCCUGCUCGAGUCAUAGGAAAGGACACACACAUUUGUGUGGGCAGAAGUGGUAAAAAUGGUUUUGUCUUAAUUACAUGAAACUAAGCUUUAAAAUAUUUUAUAACAAAUUAUUUGAGCUGCAUUAUCUAAACAUGUCAGACGUUCAGUGGGACUAUUUUUAUAUAUGUAUAUGUGGUUGUAGGUCAUAACAUUUCAGUUUAUAAUAUAAUUUGUUAUUUCAGUUUAUAAGCUAUCUCUCAGAAAAGACUAGCUCUUUUGAGAAUACGUAAUUUAAAAUUUUAGACUGAAGUAAAACACAACAUAGAUAAUAGUGUAAAUUAGAUAUAAAUGAGGGCUAUAUGGCAGUAAAACUGCUAGUGCCAUUUUUCCUGUUUGCCUAUUAUACAUUUUUUUUUUGUACUCUGAACAUUUUUAGGGAUCAUGCAUUCUAUCAGAUUAGAGUUGGUUUGGGGAUAAAUAUCUUCUAAAAAGAGAUUUAUCUUAAAAAUGAAAGUUCUGAAAAAUUAGUUUAUCAAGAGUUUAUAAAGUCAAAUAUUCAAUAGACAUAGACUGGAAUAGGUAAACUCAUGGAAGUCGUUUCCUUUCAGUAUACCAGUAUAACUUCAAUAUUACACGAGUAACAUUGAGAGAAUGCCAUCAGCUUUGUUUGUUCCUCCUUAAUGUUCUUAGAUUUUCUUUUUACAUCUUUGGGAACAACUACAUUAAAAACCUUAUUAAUCAGUAUAUCAGUAAGGAUUAGGUGUUUGCUUUCUGAAGGAAUGUUCCAGUGAGGUGAUCAGAGAGGUUAUUUUCUAUCUAACUUGUAUAUGCCCUAUACCCCUUGGGCAUAUUUUGUCUAUAGAAAAAAUAUUUUGACCUUUAGGUACAUUUUGGGCCAGUAGUCAAAUAAUCCUAGGGCCGAUUUAAAAAUCUUAGAAUAAUUUAAGGUUUGCCUUUUAUACCUGUUUUGGAAGCCUUUACAUUUUUGUCAGGUAAUUUUUCCCAAGCCGUGAAUAUAAUCUAUUCAAAACAUGUUUAUG